UGGGGAAUAUUGGACAAUGGGCGAAAGCCUGAUCCAGCCAUGCCGCGUGUGUGAAGAAGGCCUUUUGGUUGUAAAGCACUUUAAGCGAGGAGGAGGCUACUUGGAUUAAUACUCUAGGAUAGUGGACGUUACUCGCAGAAUAAGCACCGGCUAACUCUGUGCCAGCAGCCGCGGUAAUACAGAGGGUGCGAGCGUUAAUCGGAUUUACUGGGCGUAAAGCGUGCGUAGGCGGCUUUUUAAGUCGGAUGUGAAAUCCCUGAGCUUAACUUAGGAAUUGCAUUCG
rnacentral:rRNA from 1 species